UUGACCUCGGAAAAGGU
rnacentral:rRNA from 1 species